AUUGAACGCUGGCGGCAGGCUUAACACAUGCAAGUCGAGCGGAGAGAGGUAGCUUGCUACUGAUCUUAGCGGCGGACGGGUGAGUAAUGCUUAGGAAUCUGCCUAUUAGUGGGGGACAACAUUUCGAAAGGAAUGCUAAUACCGCAUACGUCCUACGGGAGAAAGCAGGGGAUCUUCGGACCUUGCGCUAAUAGAUGAGCCUAAGUCGGAUUAGCUAGUUGGGGGGGUAAGGCCUACCAAGGCGACGAUCUGUAGCGGGUCUGAGCGGAUGAUCCGCCACACUGGGACUGAGACACGGCCCAGACUCCUACGGGAGGCAGCAGUGGGGAAUAUUGGACAAUGGGCGCAAGCCUGAUCCAGCCAUGCCGCGUGUGUGAAGAAGGCCUUAUGGUUGUAAAGCACUUUAAGCGAGGAGGAGGCUACUUUAGUUAAUACCUAGAGAUAGUGGACGUUACUCGCAGAAUAAGCACCGGCUAACUCUGUGCCAGCCGCCGCCGUAACAC
rnacentral:rRNA from 1 species